rnacentral:lncRNA from 1 species
GAUGCCAACCAAGGGGCUCUGGAGAAGGUGCCAACCACCCCUCUUCUCCCCCCACACCCCAAGGUCAACCUGGGAGUCUUCAGCCGGCCUCCCACAAAGCAGGCUCCUCCCUCAAGAAGCCUCACCGGCCAGCAGGAAUUAACCACAGCAUAACUCAGGACCCAGCGCACCAACGCAUUUAUAUAUCCCAAGGGUGGACCCCGCCCCGCCCCUCCACCAAUCAGAAUCCUCCUGGAGAGGGGGGCGUGGCUUGCCCCUCUCCCACCACUUCUACCUGUGAAGCCAGUCACCACCUGCCUUGCAGCUGCGAGGUAAAAGUUUUCCCAAAGCUUCCUCACCCAUAAGAGGGGCAGGACCACUGGGCCCCGGGGCCUGAAACCCCUACAGGACAAGAAGCUAAAACAUCCUCCUUUCUCCCACCACGCUGUACUUGGGAAUAAACCCAAGGGCUCUCUAUCACUGAGCUAUACCCCCAGCCCUUUAUUUUUUGAGACAGGGUCUCUCUAAAUUGUUGAGGCUAGUCUCGAACUUGAGAUUCUCCUACCUCAGCCUCCUAAAUUGCAGAGAUUACAUAUGUAGGUGUUGUUAGUAGCUUUACUUCACAAAGGAAGAAGCAACCACUAAAAUGCAGUGUUGUCUCCAGAGAGGUUAAGUAAUUUACUUCCAGUCACACAGCCAGUAAACAGAAAGUCAAGUUUCCACCUAGCUGUCUGGCCCGGUCUUCACAAAGGGAUCUGAGGGUCCUUCAGUCUGUUUCAAGACUGAUUCUGAACAAAGCCUGACCUAGAGAAGGUUUUGAGUAAAACCCAGUAGUGAACCCCAGACCGGCUGUGUUCACCCCAUCUCCUGUCUACUGAUAAUGCUAGAGAUCAGUAGAGAAUGCAGAAAAGAAGCCCUAGGUUUGUAGGGUAUGCAGCUUGGUGGUAGAGCAUUAGCCUGACAUGUGUUGGGGGUGGCGGGGAGAAGAGGAGGGAGGAGAAAGAAAAGAAAAAAGUCUGUUGAUUAAGUGCAGACUCCUCAGCAGUAGUGUGUUCCAGUCUGCAACCUUCUUCCCCCUUCCCCGGCUUCUCGUGUGAUUUUUCCCACUAGGAAGUCAGGCUUGUCAUGUAAGAAUAAAAGAAAUUGAAGUUAAAGUGUAAAAGACCAGGCAUUGUAAAGUUUCUAAGCUGCAAGGCCUGAGUUAAAAAGUAAAGGACCAGGUAUUGUUAAGUUCCUAUGCUACACCCAAAACCUGAAAUUCCUGUAGCUGUUAGGACAAUACCUGGAACUGCCCAGUAAAUAUUCCCCCUGACCAUCUGGUUGUUUAAUAACCUAGGACCCUGUGCGGCUUGGCACGUAGGCAUUGCAGGGCCUAAACCAAUCAGUUUGAAUGUGUACCCCGAUUUAGAACUGACCUAUCACCCCCACCCGACCUGUUCCCGCCAAUGAAUGUACUAAUCAUGUCUAAGAAUUGUUGUUUGAUUUUCCCGUGCCUCAUGAUGAUUUGCUCUGAUGUAUGCAAGGCCCCCGCCCUCCCCAAAAAGUGUACUUAAGCACUGCUCAACCCCUGCUCAGGGCUUUGAGCCGCUCUCCCUUGUUGAGUGAGCACGGAGCCCCAGCGUGCCGGAUUGGAUCCUCAAUAAACCGCUUUUGCUGUUGCAUGA